rnacentral:tRNA from 1 species
UAAUAAGAAGUAAAAUUUACAAUCAGUUUCGACCUGAUAUUUAGAGAAUUACUUCUCUCUUAUUAG